rnacentral:rRNA from 1 species
GAUCAUGGCUCAGGAUGAACGCUAGCUACAGGCUUAACACAUGCAAGUCGAGGGGCAGCAUGAACUUAGCUUGCUAAGUUUGAUGGCGACCGGCGCACGGGUGAGUAACACGUAUCCAGCCUUCCGUUUACUCAGGGAUAGCCUUCGAAAGAAAGAUUAAUACCUGAUAGUAUGGUGAGAUUGCAUGAUAACACCAUUAAAGAUUUAUUGGCAAACGAUGGGGAUGCGUUCCAUUAGGUAGUAGGCGGGGUAACGGCCCACCUAGCCUGCGAUGGAUAGGGGUUCUGAGAGGAAGGUCCCCCACAUUGGAACUGAGACACGGUCCAAACUCCUACGGGAGGCAGCAGUGAGGAAUAUUGGUCGAUGGGCGAGAGCCUGAACCAGCCAAGUAGCGUGAAGGAUGAAGGUCCUACGGAUUGUAAACUUCUUUUAUACGGGAAUAAAGUUUCCUACGUGUAGGAUUUUGUAUGUACCGUAUGAAUAAGCAUCGGCUAACUCCGUG